CUUUGACGGGCAUGAUUUCUCCGGUCGGGACAGUGUUCUCGUCAACAGGAGUAAUAUGGUUUGCCCAAAGUUGAAUUGAAUGGUUGAGAACAUCCCCAGAGUUAUGCCCACCUAAGUUCCAGUAGGUGUGUUGAGCCAAGUUGAUUAUGGUGGGCUUGUUUUCAGGAAUUGCCUCCAUAUAAAGUUUCAUUGUUGUGCUUGAAGUGAGUGUGUAAGUUGCAGUAACAGAGACAGCUCCUGGGUAACCUUCCUCUCCAUCAGCACUAUGAUACUUGAAGGUGAUGGACGGAUUCUCCCCCUUUUUGUAUUCACUCACUUGCCAUACUUUCUUGUCAAAUCCUUUGUGACCACCAUGGAGACUGUUUGGAGGUUUGUUAAUAGGCAAAGAGUAUUGUUCCCCAUUGAGUGUGAACUUCCCAUCUUUGAUCCUGUUAGCGACUCGACCAACAAUGCAGCCAAAGUAAGGCGCAAGACCUUUCAAAUAUGGGUCGAGAGAAUCAAAUCCAAGGACUACAUCAGCCAAUUUUCCAUCUUUGCCUGGAACAGAG
rnacentral:misc_RNA from 1 species